UGCAGAAUCCCGAGAACCAUCGAGUCUUUGAACGCAAGUUGCGCCCGAAGCCACUAGGCCGAGGGCACGCCUGCCUGGGCGUCA
rnacentral:rRNA from 1 species